rnacentral:rRNA from 1 species
ACCCGCUGAACUUAAGCAUAUCAAUAAGCGGAGGAAAAGAAACCAACAGGGAUUACCUCAGUAACGGCGAGUGAAGCGGUAACAGCUCAAAUUUGAAAUCUGGAGCCUUCGGCUUCCGAGUUGUAAUUUGAAGAGGAUGCUUCGGUUGUGGCCCUGGCCUAAGUUCCUUGGAACAGGACGUCGUAGAGGGUGAGAAUCCCGUACACGGCUGUGGGCCUACUUCCAUGUGAAGCUCCUUCGAAGAGUCGAGUUGUUUGGGAAUGCAGCUCAAAAUGGGUGGUAAAUUUCAUCUAAAGCUAAAUAUUGGCGAGAGACCGAUAGCGCACAAGUAGAGUGAUCGAAAGAUGAAAAGCACUUUGAAAAGAGAGUUAAACAGUACGUGAAAUUGUUGAAAGGGAAGCGCUUGCAAUUAGACUCACUUUCGGUUGAUCAACGUUCCUUCUGGUUCGUGCACUCUGCCGUUUGUGGGCCAGCAUCAGUUUGGGUGACGGGAUAAAGGCAUCGGGAAUGUGGCUCUCUUCGGGGAGUGUUAUAGCCCGGUGCGCAAUACCGCCUAUCCAGAUUGAGGUCCGCGCUUUUGCUAGGAUGCUGGCUUAAUAAUUGUAAGCGACCCGUCUUGAAACACGG